GAAAUGCGAUACGUAAUGUGAAUUGCAGAAUUCAGUGAAUCAUCGAAUCUUUGAACGCAUCUUGCGCUCUCUGGUAUUCCGGAGAGCAUGUCUGUUUGAGUGUCAUGAAUUCUUCAACCCAAUUGUUUAUUAAAAGCAGUUGGUGUUUGGAUUCUGAGCGCUGCUGGCUUCGGCCUAGCUCGUUCGUAAUACAUCAGCAUCCCUCAUACAAGUUUGGAUUGACUUGGCGUAAUAGACUAUUCGCUAAGGAUUCAAUGUUCGCAUUGAGCCAACUUAAUGAAGGAAGCUACUAAUCACAAAGUCUACCUUUAGAUUAGAUCUCAAAUCAGGCAGGAUUACCCGCUGAACUUAA
rnacentral:misc_RNA from 1 species